rnacentral:lncRNA from 1 species
CUGUUGAGGACACACUGUUCGAAUAUCUGCCCCCCUGGAAUUCCAUGUCAUUUCUUCUCUUAGGCCCUGGAAUUCCACAAGUUUUUAAUAAAUUACCCUUGGAAAUCUGCUAUGUUUUACAUUCCCCUGGAUUUCCUUGCUAUGUUUUGUCUUACCCCCUGGAAUUCCAAGCAUUUUAAAUCAAUUACCCUUGGAAAUGUGCCAUUUUUUCAUCCCCCCCUGGAAUUUCCAGCGUAAAUAAGUGACUUUUGAACACCUCCCCCUGGAAUUUCUAGCAAAAAUAAGCAAGUUUUGACUCUCACCCCCUGGAAUUUCCAGAGAAAAUAAGAGUUUUGACCCCACCCACUGGAAUUUCCAGCGAAAAAACACGAGAUUUGGCCCCCACCCCCUGGAAUUUCCAGCGAAAAUAAGUGAAUUUUGACCCCACCCCCUGGAUUUCCAGCACAAAAAAUGGAGGUCAACCCCUGGAUUUCCAAGGUCCUCAACAGGGGGUGUACGGAUAUUAAAUGCAAUAUGCCAUUUUCAAAAAAAUC